UUGGGUUUUAUAUAUAUAUAUAUAGAUAGAAGUGAAAAUAGGUUUUCAUAUGCGCCGCCCUCUUCUUCUCUUGUCACUCCAAUCCAACAUAUUCUUCUCAUUCUUGAUCGAUUAUCAUGUCUUCUCACUCGCCGCUGUGUAGUAUGCUACUUUCAUACACACGUGACAAAAAUCCCCCUAGGCUUUGUGGUGAAAGCAGUUGAAUUCAAAGAAUCCAGUUGGAAGCUUACAUCGAGGAGGAGAUUGUCCCUUGAUGGCUGGGAAACGUAACUCAAAUUCAUACGAGUUUUGAGUUCAUAAUUAAUAACCGUUUCAAGAAUAAAGCCGAGAAAGAUGCACUGGAGAAAAUGAAACGCCUCGUAACUGCACAAGCUUCUGAAGUGGAACUUGAUUAUCUGAGGUAAUCGAUAAACCAAGUCCUUUAGAUUUUGAUAAACAAGAUCUCUACAUUUAAUUUCCUUCGAUUUGUUAGUUUAUUUUGUGAUUCUUGUA